UGCAAGUCGAGCGGUAACAGGGGUAGCUUGCUACCCGCUGACGAGCGGCGGACGGGUGAGUAAUGCAUGGGUAUCUGCCCGGUAGUGGGGGAUAACUCGGGGAAACCCGAGCUAAUACCGCAUACGUCCUACGGGAGAAAGCAGGGGAUCUUCGGACCUUGCGCUAUCGGAUGAGCCCAUGUCGGAUUAGCUUGUUGGUGAGGUAACGGCUCACCAAGGCGACGAUCCGUAGCUGGUCUGAGAGGAUGAUCAGCCACACCGGGACUGAGACACGGCCCGGACUCCUACGGGAGGCAGCAGUGGGGAAUAUUGGACAAUGGGGGCAACCCUGAUCCAGCCAUGCCGCGUGUGUGAAGAAGGCCUUCGGGUUGUAAAGCACUUUCAGUGGGGAAGAAGGCAUGAUGAUUAAUACYCGUCAUGAAGGACAUCACCCACAGAAGAAGCACCGGCUAACUCCGUGCCAGCAGCCGCGGUAAUACGGAGGGUGCAAGCGUUAAUCGGAAUUACUGGGCGUAAAGGGCGCGUAGGCGGCUUGCCAAGCCGGAUGUGAAAGCCCCGGGCUCAACCCGGGAACGGCAUUCGGAACUGGCAGGCUAGAGUGCAGGAGAGGAAGGUGGAAUUCCCGGUGUAGCGGUGAAAUGCGUAGAGAUCGGGAGGAAUACCAGUGGCGAAGGCGGCCUUCUGGACUGACACUGACGCUGAGGCGC
rnacentral:rRNA from 1 species